AUUGAACGCUGGCGGCAGGCCUAACACAUGCAAGUCGAACGAGCGGCGGACGGGUGAGUAAUGUCUGGGAAACUGCCCGAUUGAGGGGGAUAACUACUGGAAACGGUAGCUAAUACCGCAUACCAUCGGAUGUUCCCAUAUGGGAUUAGCUUGUAGGUGAGGUAAAGGCUCACCUAGGCGACGAUCCCUAGCGGGUCUGCGAGGAUGACCAGCCACACGGGAACUGAGACACGGCCCAGACUCCUACGGGAGGCAGAAGUGGGGAAUAUUGCACAAUGGGCGCAAGCCUGAUGCAGCCAUGCCGCGUGUAUGAAGAAGGCCUUAGGGUUGUAAAGUACUUUCAGUGGGGAGGCGUUACCGGCAGAAGAAGCACCGGCUAACUCCGUGCCAGCAGCCGCGGUAAUUC
rnacentral:rRNA from 1 species